AAGGAUUUAAGUUAAAAAAAAAAACUAUUAACCUUCAAAGUUAAAAUUAUAUCAAUUAUAAGCCU
rnacentral:tRNA from 1 species